rnacentral:rRNA from 1 species
GCGAACGGGUGAGUAACACGUGGGCAAUCUGCCCUUCACUCUGGGACAAGCCCUGGAAACGGGGUCUAAUACCGGAUAUGACCGUCUUGGGCAUCCUUGACGGUGUAAAGCUCCGGCGGUGAAGGAUGAGCCCGCGGCCUAUCAGCUUGUUGGUGAGGUAAUGGCUCACCAAGGCGACGACGGGUAGCCGGCCUGAGAGGGCGACCGGCCACACUGGGACUGAGACACGGCCCAGACUCCUACGGGAGGCAGCAGUGGGGAAUAUUGCACAAUGGGCGAAAGCCUGAUGCAGCGACGCCGCGUGAGGGAUGACGGCCUUCGGGUUGUAAACCUCUUUCAGCAGGGAAGAAGCGCAAGUGACGGUACCUGCAGAAGAAGCGCCGGCUAACUACGUGCCAGCAGCCGCGGUAAUACGUAGGGCGCAAGCGUUGUCCGGAAUUAUUGGGCGUAAAGAGCUCGUAGGCGGCUUGUCACGUCGGGUGUGAAAGCCCGGGGCUUAACCCCGGGUCUGCAUUCGAUACGGGCUAGCUAGAGUGUGGUAGGGGAGAUCGGAAUUCCUGGUGUAGCGGUGAAAUGCGCAGAUAUCAGGAGGAACACCGGUGGCGAAGGCGGAUCUCUGGGCCAUACUGACG